UUUACAGAUGACUCGUUGCGAGACAAAGUAAUGUUAAGACGGCUAGCAGAGCUGUCCAUUUGCAUUAUGCUGUUAAUGUGAUUGAUGAUGUGCUAAGCAUAAACCUGCUCUCCGCCACCAGUACAAGGAGAUGAUCGAAGGUGAACAGGCAACACUUGAGCCUGGUGUUGUUGUAGCCAAGGAGCUUUCACUCAGAUGGAACCAGAUAUCAGCUGCUGUACAAUGUUGAAGUCCUUCCUCCCAGAGAUGUAAAAGCAUCCCCCGGGCGAGACACAACCCGGCAAACAUAGAUUUUUGAGAAGAUCAGAACGUUUGCAAUGAAAAGGCCAUGGACAUUACAUGUCCUGCUCAAAGGCUAUAUUCCUUUCGUCAUAUCAUAACAUGACCUGAACCACAGUUACUCAAAAGAUCUUAUGAUAUAGGCCUAGGAGAUGAAAUGUUUAGAGAAUCCAUUUAGGCAAUUUGGUGAAAGUAUUCCUUUUCUAAAUAUACUGUAUGUUCUCCAAGGAUUAAUGUAGAUCAGGUGUGAAAAUUACAGCAAAAUGUUUGAAUACAGUGUAUGAUAUGCCCUUUUGAAGCUCUAGAAAACACAAUUUGAAAUGUUCUAACAUUUUAGUAAUCAAUAAAUACAAAAAAUGAUGGGGUAAAAAUAACAAAAGACGACAACAACAAAAGAAAUAGAAAGCUACAUGACAAUGCCGUGCCAUAAAAACAAGUUCAAACUUUCCACCGUGUUGAGGCGGCUCCGCACCUGUGUUGAGACUGCUGGGGAGAUGCGUUACCCAGAGCGAGGGAAAGUGCUCACUGCUCCACAGCAGUAGAAAGCGAGCCAAGGAAAAUACGGGGCGAGACCAUAGCAUCCCUGUCUGUUGAUGUAUGCCACCUUAUGGGAUAUAACUUGACCCAUGGGGGUCCCCAGUGACAACAGCCGCAAGUCCAUCCACAGUGCUAGAGCACGUAGACAGGACGGGGACACCCGUAGUGACCGGUUUAGGUGGCACGAUGUGUCCAAGCGAAUGUCUAUUCCCCACUUCCUUAAAAGGUUGCAUCAGCAACAGCCCGAAAGGAACCAUGGCUAUCAUAGAAGCCAUCAUCCCCAAUAUGCGGAGGCAGCCGAAAUUGAGCCAAGCAAAGCCGGAAACCGGUCUCCCUCUGCAAGGACAAGAACGCACAAUUCUCAACCGAGUCUAACUCAAGACCCAGAAACGGAAUGCGUUGUAGACUCAAACAUCUCUUCUAUUGAUUCACUAUGAAACCCAUAAACUGAACAUGGGAAACCAGCAUGGAUGUGUGUAACACCCCCUGCUCCCUUGACUCUGCUACCACCAGCCAAUUGUCCAGGUAGUCCAAUAUCCUGAGCCCCAGACACCGCAUAGGUGCCAAACUUGAGGCAAAGCCCGAAAGGGAGACUCGGGAACUUUCUGUGAGGGUAAUAUAUGGCCACUAAAGUACGCCGCCUCCAGGUCGAUGGAGGUGAACCAAUUGCCCCAGCGCACUGACUGUAACAACAGGCUGUUCGUGAGCAUUCUGAAUUUGUAGACACAGGUGUGCUUGUUUAGGACACACAGGUUUAAAAAGGGAUGCAAAGUCCAAACCAGGAAAUACCCGGCUAUACCAGCCGUCCUGGGCCUCUGACAUAGGAACCAUUCGGUUUGCCUGCUUCUGGAGAAGGGAAGAAAUCUCCUCCCUCAAAAUGGGCACUGAGGCCUCAGGAACAGUUGACAUAAUGAUGCCUUUAAAUCCUUGGGGAUGCACAAUGAAUUGUAGCCUGUACCCCAACGUCACUGUUUGCAUAAUCCAGGGCAACACUGCGCAUGCAAGCCAUUGGUCUACACAGACAGCGAGUCUCCCAUAAAGUGCCAUCUAAACGGGUUCAACGACGCCUUGUGGACUCUGAGAAUUUGAUUAUUUUUCCAUGCCUUUUUUAAUUUCCACAGACAGGUUUAUCACCUGUGGAAGGUGGGGCUUGCAAUGAGGCACGGUGUUCAUUGGCCUUAUCAGACGUGAUUCAAAUGUUCUUCAGUAGAGGGCGCUGGUGCGCGAACUCUCCCAAGCUGACUUGACCGGCUGAAAGUUGAACUAUCAUUGAGGACUAUGACCCUCCGAUGAGCUCCACAACUAGUCAUUCAUAUACCUUGGUUGCUUGUUGUUUGAUUUGAAAUCCCCACAGCUGUUAAGGUUUUUCCUCCAGAGGAAAACAUUUUUUUUUUACCAGAGGCUCCCAUAGUGCCAGGGAGCUGGGACUGGAGCACACCGUGUAGUCUGUGGCUGGCAGAGGGUUCAUAAUGCAGCCUGAGUUGUUGUUGUCUCACCGGAGCUCGCUGCUUCGCGCCUGCAAGGCUUCUGGGGCUGCUGAAUGUGGGAGUUAUUUCCUUCAAUGAUUUAUUAGGUUAUCUCUACACCAUUGCCCUGGGACUUCAAGUGGGCUGCAGAGUGAAGAAAUGAGAGGAGGCCUAAGCUUUAUCUUCCCAACACUCCUGUUCUGACUCGCUCACUUUGCAAAAAUGCAUAUUCACAUCACUAGCCUAAAACACACAUCAAAGCAUUACAUUAUUUUUUGAGGUGUAGGUUAUUCAUUUAACGAAUGAUUGCCUUUUGUAUUUCCAUAACGCUGUUAGACUGUAGCAAACAAAUUACACAUUCCGACGGUGUUACUUGGUCGGUUUCAAAGUGUAAUUCCCUCAUUGGUCACGUGUCUGUGCUGUUGUUUGGUCUAGACGGGCAGUGGAUGCCAUCAGAACAUUUACAAUGUCUGAGAGUCAACUUGUUCUCACAUUUCUGUUGAUUUGUGAGAGGUUUUAUUGUCAGAUUUUAUUGAAAAUGUUUUGCUCAUGGGUCAAAGUCUUUAAUAUUUUGCAUGAUAGUAACAUUACUCCCUGUAUUCUGUAAGGAUACUUUUUUAUAGUCGCCCUAUGUUUUUCAAUGGACAAUAAACAACGUAGCCUACCUUGACAGACAAAAAGAGCGUUUCAGAUGCUUCCCCUAUUUAGCCUUAAUCCAUGUGUAAGAUAGUAGGGCCAUUUUCCACAUGAGUUCAGUUUAUGCCUACCCAUUUAGCUGAUGAGUGAAUUGGAUUCCUCGGAACAUAUGCUUUUUGGUUUACUUUAAUUUGUUGAAGAGCUCUGUUAUUACUCCAUUUUCUAUGUAGUCUGUUGCUUCUGAACAUCUUGCAUCCAUACACAGUCAUCUGUGUCCUGGCAUAGGCUCCAAAUGUACUCAUGGGAGACUAUUUUACCACAAUGAUAAAGAAGUGCUUUGGAAUUUGAUUGUGUCAUUGUGUCUCUUGAUAACAUUUGUGCCUGUCUCCUCAUGAAUGAUUUCAUUGCCUGGGUGUGGGCCAUUGUUUUAUUUACAGAUGCCAAAAUGCAAAACGUGUCACUGCUUGACACCACAGGAAGUGAUGGAUUUUUCAUGCCACUUCACCCAUGUACUUAAACUGAGUCAUCAGCCAAUUAUAUGGUAGUACUGAAUCAUCUCUCUAAGUAGAGCACUUUGAAACACUGACCUGCAAUUACUUUAAUAGGUUAAUAUUUACUUUUGACCUGCAAUUAAUUUAAUAGUUUAAUAUAAUUCUCUCAUGAAAUAUAGUAUAUUUUUACAGUCAUUCAGAUGGUUUCAGCCAUAUUGUGUAUGGGAAAUCAAUACCCACAGUAUCAUUGGAUAAGAUAAUAAGAACGUCCAAAGUACAUCAAUAUGCUGCACACUAUUUUGGAUUACUCUGGAGCUUUUUGAGUACACAGUGUCCAGGUGCCCGACUCACUGCUGAAAAACAUGUUACUUCUAUCAACAUUAUCA
rnacentral:lncRNA from 1 species